rnacentral:rRNA from 1 species
UGGGGAAUAUUGCGCAAUGGGGGAAACCCUGACGCAGCAACGCCGCGUGAGUGAGGAAGGACUUCGGUCUGUAAAGCUCUGUUAAUGUAGAAAAAUGGCAGAUGGUCUAAUAGGCCGUUUGUUUGAUGGUAUACAUAGAGGAAGCACCGGCUAACUUCGUGCCAGCAGCCGCGGUAAUACGAAGGGUGCAAGCGUUGUUCGGAUUUAUUGGGCGUAAAGCGCGCGUAGGCGGGUUUGCAAGUCAGAUGUGAAAUCUCGGGGCUCAACCUCGAAACUGCGUCUGAAACUACAAGCCUAGAAUAUUGGAGAGGGAAGGGGAAUUUCACAUGUAGGGGUAAAAUCCGUAGAGAUGUGAAGGAACACCAGAGGCGAAAGCGCCUUCCUGGCCAGUGAUUGACGC